rfam:Actinomyces sp. oral taxon 448 str. F0400 genomic scaffold SCAFFOLD1, whole genome shotgun sequence.
AUUCGGCACCUUUCACAACGGAUCGUCCGGCACGUACCUGCCGGUGAAGGGAUACCACU